rnacentral:rRNA from 1 species
GACGAACGCUGGCGGCGUGCUUAACACAUGCAAGUCGAACGGAAAGGCCCUGCUUUUGUGGGGUGCUCGAGUGGCGAACGGGUGAGUAACACGUGAGUAACCUGCCCUUGACUUUGGGAUAACUUCAGGAAACUGGGGCUAAUACCGGAUAGGAGCUCCUGCUGCAUGGUGGGGGUUGGAAAGUUUCGGCGGUUGGGGAUGGACUCGCGGCUUAUCAGCUUGUUGGUGGGGUAGUGGAUUACCAAGGCUUUGACGGGUAGCCGGCCUGAGAGGGUGACCGGCCACAUUGGGACUGAGAUACGGCCCGGACUCCUACGGGAGGCAGCAGUGGGGAAUAUUGCACAAUGGGCGGAAGCCUGAUGCAGCAACGCCGCGUGCGGGAUGACGGCCUUCGGGUUGUAAACCGCUUUCGCCUGUGACGAAGCGUGAGUGACGGUAAUGGGUAAAGAAGCACCGGCUAACUACGUG